rnacentral:rRNA from 1 species
AUUUGAAAUCUCCGUUGCUUGCAACGGCGAAUUGUAAUUUCGAGAAGCGCUUUCUCGGCGGACCGGGCGCGCCUAAGUUGCUUGGAACGGCACGUCGCAGAGGGUGACAACCCCGUCUGUGGCGGGUCCGGCCGCUAACGAUGUGCUUUCGAAGAGUCGGGUUGUUUGGGAAUGCAGCCCAAAAUGGGUGGUAAACUCCAUCUAAAGCUAAAUACGGGCGCGAGACCGAUAGCGAACAAGUACCGUGAGGGAAAGAUGAAAAGAACUUUGAAAAGAGAGUUAAAAAGUACGUGAAACCGUCGAAAGGGAAACGAAUGGAGUUAGCAAUGCGCCCCUCGAGAUUCAGCCGGCGGGCUCGGUUCCCCGCCGUCGCACUUCUCUUGGGCGCGCGUCAGCGUGGGUUGGUCUCCGGGCUUGAAAGGUGCGGGCAAGGUGGGUGCGGGGGUCUCCGGGCCCUCGUUCUGUUACAGGCCCGCUCUCUCUGGUGGCUCGGGGCCGACCGAGGUGGUCGCAGCGCAUGCCUCUUGUGGCUAGGGUCCCGCCCUUCCGGCUGGCGUUUUUCGACUGCGGUGGACUGCUUGCAGUGCUCCGCGACCGGCGCCGGCCGUUGGGGUGGUGAUCUCGUACCAUGCGCUUAGGAUGCUGGCGGUCAUAUGGCUCCAUCCGACCCGUCUUGAAACACGGACCAAGGAGUCUAACAUGUGCGCGAGUCUUUGGGCGGUGAAAACCCCGAGGCGCAAUGAAAGUGAAGGCGGCUUCGGCCGCUGAGGCGAGACCCUCGACCCCUGAGCGGGAAGGGGCGCAUCGUCGACCGACCUGUCCUACUCUUAGGAAGGUUUGAGUAAGA